UUAUAGAUAAUACAAGCAUAUAGUUUUUUUUAUUUUUUUUUCAAACGUAUAUGCUUGUACAUAUCUAUAUCU